rnacentral:rRNA from 1 species
CGAAGGGUGCAAGCGUUAUCCGGAUUCAUGGGUUUAAAGGGUGCGUAGCGGGGUGGUAAGUCAGUGGUGAAAUCCUGCAGCUUAACUGUAGAAUUGCCAUUGAUACUGCCAUUCUUGAGUACGCUGGAUGUGGGCGGAAUGUGCCGUGUAGCGGUGAAAUGCUUAGAUAUGGCACAGAACACCGAUAGCGAAGGCAGCUCACAACGGCGAAACUGACGCUGAGGCACGAAAGCGUGGGGAUCGAACAGGAUUAGAUACCCUGGUAGUCCACGCCGUAAACGAUGAUCACUCGUCAUUGGCGAUACACUGUCAGUGACCUAGCGAAAGCGUUAAGUGAUCCACCUGGGGAGUACGGCCGCAAGGCUG